AGGCAUACUGCUGGAGGACUGAGUACAAGCAUUAUCAGACCACCAGGAGGAAGAUCCUGUGAUUGGACCAUAAUGGAAGCACAGGAAGUGCAGAGUAAAAGGAAUAUUUCUAGAAGAACAAACUUUAGAAAGGGGUCACUAGAGAGAAAAGGUAUUUGGACCAUUCCUGGACUUUGAAGAUGAUUCUGUUUGUUGACAAAUCUUUUUGUGAAUUCUUUAUAAAUGGCUUGAAUUUAUAACUAUUUACAGAAUAAUUUAUGUUCAUCUAUACAUUGUUUGCAAGCAGUUUACUGGCCAUUUCAUAUUUAAAGAUUUGAUCUGUGUUUUGUUAAUUUUGAUUGCACACAUGAUCAUAUGGUCCGUGUUCCCUUAUUGGAAUAUCAUAACUGUUAGAAUCGGGUUUCCAGCACAAAUACUUGUGUUCAGGCAUUACAAAUUCACUUCCUGUAGUUUUGCCCUCUAAAAUCGGCUCUUUAUGUGAACAUUGAUUGUAAUCUUAGUUGCUAGAAGAUUUGUGGAAAGUAAACACACACGGAGAAAACAAGCAAAGCCAACUGAGCUUAUUAUUUAAAAUCUACAAAAUACUUCCAGAGAUUGUCCAGGAAUAUUCAUUCAGUGUGAGAGGGGAUCAUUAUGAUAAGUCUGACCUCCCGCACAGGAGUGGACAUGGCAUCUCACACUGUAAUUCCUGCAACUCGCACUGUAAUUCCUAGAUCAAGCCCAGUGACCUUUGCUUUAGCUGAAAGCACAAACCUUUAGAAAGCCCAUCCAAUCUUGAUUUAAAGAUUUUAAGCAAUGGAUAAUCUGUCACAUGCUUUAGUAAUCUUCUCUACUAGUUAAUUACACUCACUAUUAAAAUAUGUAUGCCUUAUUUCCAGUUUUAACUUGUCUAGCUUCAAUUCCAACCAGCUGUAAUCAAGAAUAACUUUUCGAUCAUAAUUCCUAUGGACUAAAGUGCCUAGAAUCAUCGAACAACACUGUCUAUGUUUGUGACUAACAUUGUUGUGUUCUGUAAUUGUAUUGUCUAAAUGAAUUGUUGAGUGAAUAAAUAUAGACUGAAGUU